ACAUACAUACAUAUGUACAUACAAAAGCAAUAGAAAUUCUCAUUUCUCUCUUUUUAAAGCAAUAACUUUGAUAAAGUAGCGAGUAUUGGUAAAUUUGAACCGGCGAUUUUAUGCGCUCAUUAAGCAUCACACACACCAACAAAGCUCAAUUAGUUAAAGAAGACAAAAUCAGGUGGUUGCAGUAGCAACAAGAAAUUAUGAGCGCACAGACAAUAAAAAGCAGAACAAUUGCAAGGCAAUGCAUACAUACAUACAUAUGCACAUAUAAAUCAGUUCAGUUGUAGAAAAAUACAUAUGUACAUACAUACACAUAAUGAGAAUCAAUGCAACUAAUUAGCGAAUAUCAGCAUAAAGUGUAAUUGAGAGUCAGAGAUCAACUAAUUGGCACUCUCAGCAACACCUCAGCAACAAAAUAUGCAGCUAUGCCAUCAAUAACGGACCUAUGCAUUCCUUCUUUCGUGAAUUGCAGCGAGUAAAACGAAAAUUGUGGUGUAAAAAUUAUUGCGUCUUGCAAAAUUGUUAAUUAAAAACUGAAUUUAAAUGUGAAAAAGUAACUCAAGUGAAUAUUGAAACUGUUGUGAACAAUUACCUACUACGUUCAGGUGUCAUGUUCAUUCAUGUUGCUGAUGCAGAAAAAAGCGUACCUGUGCGAAAAAAUGCGUGGCGUACUCUUCACAUGAAUUUUCGAAACAUUUGAAGAAUUUGAAUUUGGUGGCAGUUAGUUACUCACCGAUUGGCAGCACGCACGCGUAGAGCAUCGAGACCGAACCGAAAAGUUCCGUGGAUUUGGCAGCGCUCAGGAAACGCGUCGCAUCUGUGGGUCCUUGAAAGAGAAAAAGGAGGAAAAGAGAAGGAGAAAAACCAACAAUUAAAAGUGUGGGUUGAUAAAAGUGCAGCAAUAAUAAAACCCUACAAAGUAAAUUUGUCCGACGUAUUAGCCCUUGGAUGUUAACAAGCACUAACAGCCGUCAUAAAGGCACGGACAGCGCUUCAAUCACGUUUCUAACGGCAAUAAAGCCUUCGCCGCCCUCGCUUGUGACUCACCUGGUGGACAGACGUCAAUGAAACGCGUGAGGAAGCCGAGCGUGGCCAGCAAUGAGAGCACCACGCUUUGAUGACUUUCGAUGCACUCGCGUAUCUUCAUGCAGCGCCGCGAC